AUGGCUGAGCCAAUCGCUGCUGCAGUUUGCACUGUCUAUUCUAUGGGUUAUUCUGGCUAUUAUUUGACCCAUCUGGCACGUCACCUCACCUAUGGAUGGAGAGAAGCUGAUCCUUCAAGCACAAACCAAACAUCAGCACCUCCUCAGUCUCCCUCUGUUCCUGGAGAAGAGGCCAAAGAGGAGGAAAAUUACAACAACCCUCCGUCUGUUGCUGCACCACAGCCUGGACAACCUGAAUCAAGUGCAAAACCAGCAUUAGAACUUGUUCGGUCUCCCUCUGUUCCGGGAGAAGAGGGCAAAGAGGAGGAAAAUUACAACAACCCUCCGUCUGUUGCUGCACCACAGCCUGGACAACCUGAAUCAGUAAGCAUCAGCUUUGGUUGGCACUGUCUUGGGUGCAAAGCAGAGUUGCAAGUUUCUGACCAG
rnacentral:lncRNA from 1 species